rnacentral:rRNA from 1 species
UGGGGAAUAUUGGACAAUGGGCGAAAGCCUGAUCCAGCAAUGCCGCGUGAGUGAUGAAGGCCUUAGGGUUGUAAAGCUCUUUUACCCGGGAUGAUAAUGACAGUACCGGGAGAAUAAGCCCCGGCUAACUCCGUGCCAGCAGCCGCGGUAAUACGGAGGGGGCUAGCGUUGUUCGGAAUUACUGGGCGUAAAGCGCGCGUAGGCGGCUUUGUAAGUUAGAGGUGAAAGCCCGGAGCUCAACUCCGGAAUUGCCUUUAAGACUGCAUCGCUAGAAUCAUGGAGAGGUGAGUGGAAUUCCGAGUGUAGAGGUGAAAUUCGUAGAUAUUCGGAAGAACACCAGUGGCGAAGGCGACUCACUGGACAUGUAUUGACGCUGAGGUGCGAAAGCGUGGGGAGCAAACA